rnacentral:rRNA from 1 species
GACAGCAGCAGCCGCGGUAAUACAGAGGAUGCAAGCGUUAAUCGGAAUUACUGGGCGUAAAGCGGGCGCAGACGGUUACUUAAGCAGGAUGUGAAAUCCCCGGGCUCAACCUGGGAAUUGCGUCCUGAACUGGGUGGCUAGAGUGUGUCAGAGGGGGGUAGAACUCCACGUGUAGCAGUGAAAUGCGUAGAGAUGCGGAGGAAUACCGAUGGCGAAGGCAGCCCCCUGGGAUAGCACUGACGUUCAUGCCCGAAAGCGUGGGUAGCAAACAGGAUUAGAUACCCCCGUAGUCCCUGUCUCUUAUAU